AGUGUCCUCUGGGAGGGUGUCCUGCGGGAGGAUCGGCACGUGUCCCCUCGAGCUUUGCCCGCCCCGAGCUCAGCUGCUCCCGGCGGCCAGAACGUAGGGGUAGAGCAGUCCUCGGUGGCCCGUGGGGCGGGCGGCCGUGCCCAGCCCGGGGCCGCGCGAGACACAAUGUCCCCUGCGCUGUCCUGCCCGGGCGCCCUCACCACCGCCCUUUUCUUCUCCGCAGACCGACCUUCCGGUGCCGAUCCCCAGGACUCAGUCGUGCGGCCGCCUCGGACCCAGGCGCAGGCUGAAAACUACAAGAAAGAAACUAGUGAGCAGAAUGCCUUGAAGUCGGCUCCAAGGGGGUAAUGCCUCCAAGGUGAAGUAGGCUGGCCCACGUCCCGCCUUGGUAUUAGGGCGUGGUAGCAGAUUCAUUCUCACUUUGUUGCCGAGAUAGGUGCUGAAGUCCCAUUUUACAGAUAGAGAAUGAGGGCCCUGUGAGAGGAUUCCUGAGUAGUCUUGUAGUAAUUGAUUGCACUGAAGGUAGUCUCCCCCAAAUUAUCAAUAUGUUAGGUGGUGGUUCGAUUGAUGUUUCUCUAUGCCUGGCUGCCCUAGAACUCAGUGUCCCACUUCUGCCAAGGUGCGACCAAAAGGGAGAUUUGCUAGAUCAUUAGAAUGUGUUGGUAUAGGGGGUGGUUCUUGUAGCCCCGUUGCAUGCUAGGACAAGUUCUUUGCUAGGGCCUAGUCAAGAGCCUUCAGUCAAGAUGUUAUUAACCGGUAUAUUGCUGCAUAUCACUCAUUUUCCAGAAUCUUCAAUAAAAGCUUUUCCUGUGUCAAUCCCAUAA